rnacentral:rRNA from 1 species
GUACACACCGCCCGUCGCACCUACCGAUUGAAUGGUCCGGUGAAGCCUCGGGAUUGUGACCAGUUUCCUUUAUUGGGAGUUGGUUGUGAGAACUUGUCUAAACCUUAUCAUUUAGAGGAAGGUGAAGUCGUAACAAGGUUUCCGUAGGUG